rnacentral:rRNA from 1 species
UACGAAGGGGGCUAGCGUUGCUCGGAAUCACUGGGCGUAAAGGGUGCGUAGGCGGGGCUUUAAGUCAGAGGGGAAAUCCUGGAGCUCAACUCCAGAGCUGCCUUUGAUACUGAGGAUCUUGAGUUCGGGAGAGGUGAGUGGAACUGCGAGUGUAGAGGUGAAAUUCGUAGAUAUUCGCAAGAACACCAGUGGCGAAGGCGGCUCACUGGCCCGAUACUGACGCUGAGGCACGAAAGCGUGGGGAGCAAACAGG